UACGUAGGGGGCAAGCGUUGUCCGGAAUCAUUGGGCGUAAAGAGCGUGUAGGCGGCUUGGUAAGUCCGUUCUGAAAGCCCGGGGCUCAACCCCGGGAGGCGGAUGGAUACUGCUGAGCUCGAGUCCGGAAGAGGCGAGUGGAAUUCCUGGUGUAGCGGUGAAAUGCGCAGAUAUCAGGAGGAACACCAAUGGCGAAGGCGGCUACCUGGACCGGUACUGACGCUGAGGCGCGAAAGCUAGGGUAGCAAACAGG
rnacentral:rRNA from 1 species